rnacentral:rRNA from 1 species
AGUGAACGCUGGCGGUAGGCCUAACACAUGCAAGUCGAACGGCAGCACAGUAAGAGCUUGCUCUUACGGGUGGCGAGUGGCGGACGGGUGAGGAAUACAUCGGAAUCUACUUUUUCGUGGGGGAUAACGUAGGGAAACUUACGCUAAUACCGCAUACGACCUACGGGUGAAAGCAGGGGAUCUUCGGACCUUGCGCGAUUGUAUGAGCCGAUGUCGGAUUAGCUAGUUGGCGGGGUAAAGGCCCACCAAGGCGACGAUCCGUAGCUGGUCUGAGAGGAUGAUCAGCCACACUGGAACUGAGACACGGUCCAGACUCCUACGGGAGGCAGCAGUGGGGAAUAUUGGACAAUGGGCGCAAGCCUGAUCCAGCCAUACCGCGUGAGUGAAGAAGGCCUUCGGAUUGUAAAGCCCUUUUAUUGGGAAAGAAAAGCAGCAGGUUAAUACCCCGCUGUUCUGACGGUACCCAAAGAAUAAGCACCGGCUAACUUCGUG